CCGCGUGUGUGAUGAAGGUCUUCGGGUUGUAAAGCACUUUUAGUGGGAACGAAACGGUCCGGGCCAAUACCCUGGACUAAUGACGGUACCCGCAGAAUAAGCACCGGCUAACUACGUGCCAGCAGCCGCGGUAAUACGUAGGGUGCAAGCGUUAAUCGGAAUUACUGGGCGUAAAGCGUGCGCAGGCGGUUUUGUAAGACCGAUGUGAAAUCCCCGGGCUCAACCUGGGAACUGCAUUGGUGACUGCAAGGCUUGAGUGUGUCAGAGGGAGGUGGAAUUCCGCGUGUAGCAGUGAAAUGCGUAGAUAUGCGGAGGAACACCGAUGGCGAAGGCAGCCUCCUGGGAUAACACUGACGCUCAUGCACGAAAGCGUGGGGAGCAAACAGGAUUAGAUACCCUGGUAGUCCACGCCCUAAACGAUGUCUACUAGUUGUCGGGGAUUAAUUUCCUUGGUAACGCAGCUAACGCGGGAAGUAGACCGCCUGGGGAGUACGGUCGCAAGAUUAAAACUCAAAGGAAUUGACGGGGACCCGCACAAGCGGUGGAUGAUGUGGAUUAAUUCGAUGCAACGCGAAAAACCUUACCUACGCUUGACAUGUCUGGAAUCCCGUAGAGAUAUGGGAGUGCUCGAAAGAGAGCCAGAACACAGGUGCUGCAUGGCUGUCGUCAGCUCGUGUCGUGAGAUGUUGGGUUAAGUCCCGCAACGAGCGCAACCCUUAUCAUUAGUUGCUACGAAAGGGCACUCUAAUGAGACUGCCGGUGACAAACCGGAGGAAGGUGGGGAUGACGUCAAGUCCUCAUGGCCCUUAUGCGUAGGGCUUCACACGUCAUACAAUGGUCGGUACAGAGGGUCGCCAACCCGCGAGGGGGAGCCAAUCCCUUAAAACCGAUCGUAGUCCGGAUUGCAGUCUGCAACUCGACUGCAUGAAGUCGGAAUCGCUAGUAAUCGCGGAUCAGAAUGUCGCGGUGAAUACGUUCCCGGGUCUUGUACACACCGCCCGUCACACCAUGGGAGUGGGUUUUACCAGAAGUAGGUAGCUUAACCGCAAGGAGGGCGCUUACCACGGUAGGGCUCAUGACUGGGGUGAAGUCGUAACUAGGUAGCCGUAUCGGAAGGUGCGGCUGGAUCACCUCCUUUCU
rnacentral:rRNA from 1 species